GGGAUGUUGUUUGUCAUUAAGACACGUGGUAUUUUUGCACUUAAUAAUAUAAUGAGUGCAAAAAGCAGCUGCAGUGCGGUUUGUAUUUACAAUGUCAUUCUACGGUGCUAAUAAUUAGUAGAUAAGAUAAGCGUUUGAAGAAGUGAUUCAGUCGGCUUAGAUAAAGGGUUAGUAUUUCUCCUCAUUGUUUUGUCUCGUGUUUUGUUGUUAUUGGUUGAAACAGAUGAGAAAAGGACAACAAUAGAUUAAAUGACAAUAAGGUCAAGGGAAAGUAGUAAACACAUUUACUUUAGUACUUCGGUUCGUUAAGUUCGCACGUUGUGUAUGUGAUUUUGAUUGAUGGUUUCUUUAUACUUCGACAACUCUGGCUUGUUUUAUGGACUCAGUGACUUGAUUAUUAUCCCUUACGACUACUGUGGCUUUUUUAACGGACUUUUGAUUGUAAUAUUGGUUUAUUACUGGGAUUAAGGUUUUUAAACCUUACUGUCAAGCAUCAGUUGCCAUGUCGCGGAGAGCUCGCCCCAUGUCGCGGAGAGCUCGCCGCAUGCCUAAAGAAGAAACUGUACAGAGUUGGAUAGAACCCUAUGUCGAAUUGCUGUAUGAAUCGACUACGAACUCCAUUUAUUGCACAAAGUGUGAAGUCAACAUUGGUUGCCGAAAAAGUACGGUGAAGAACCACAAAAAAAGAAGAUUUUUACUAUGAUCUGAUCCAGUUUCUGAUUUUAUGCAUCAUUCCCUGGAAUCAAAUUGAAAACCCGGCCUUCACAUCUUUUUUUGAAAAGUAUUUGUGCUGCACAUGUGGUGAUAGCCUUUCAUUGCCCAGUGAAACGACGAUAAGAAAAACAUAUUUAGAAAAGUUUUAUCGUGACAAAAUAAGUGCUAUACACGGCCAGAUUGAGAAUGAAAAAAUAUGGAUAUCACUCGACGAAACAACGGACUUCCUUGGCCGAUACAUAGUGCAUUUACUGGUAAAGCCGUUGAAGUUAGAUGCUUCUAAAAAAACAUAUUU